GACGAACGCUGGCGGCGUGCUUAACACAUGCAAGUCGAACGGUAAGGCCCUUCGGGGUACACGAGUGGCGAACGGGUGAGUAACACGUGGGUGAUCUGCCCUGCACUUCGGGAUAAGCCUGGGAAACUGGGUCUAAUACCGGAUAGGACCACUGCCUGCAUGGGUGGUGGUGGAAAGCUUUUGCGGUGUGGGAUGGGCCCGCGGCCUAUCAGCUUGUUGGUGGGGUGAUGGCCUACCAAGGCGACGCCGGGUAGCCGGCCGGAGAGGGUGACCGGCCAGACUGGGACUGAGAUACAGCCCAGACUCGUACGGGAGGCAGCAGUGGGGAAUAUUGCACAAUGGGCGCAAGCCUGAUGCAGCGACGCCGCGUGAGGGAUGACGGCCUUCGGGUUGUAAACCUCUUUCAGCACCGACGAAGCGCAAGUGACGGUAGGUGCAGAAGAAGGACCGGCCAACUACGUGCCAGCAGCCGCCGUAA
rnacentral:rRNA from 1 species